CCGCGAUAGAAGUACGUACCAGCGUGUACAUUCGGCAUGAUGAACGCGCUUUAAUUUAAUAAGAAAUUGCUAGUUUCGUGUCGUGGUGAUAAAGCCUGCAUGGAACGCAAGGAUGUAAUCAUCGUUGUGCUUGCAUUUAUGUUAAUAUCUAUCCAACAAGACGGUUGUAGUUGUUGAGUAUUAGAUAAUGUUGGUGGUCGUUGGCAAAUUAAGUAAGAAGAGCCGUGCAGACUAGAAAAAUUACUUACGAGUACAAAUAGAUAAAAAGAUGAAAUAGUGAAGUCAUCACCAUGUUUUACGUCUUAAUUAUGCGCAAUAAAGCUAUUUAUUGCCAAUGCGCUUUCAACCUGUACUCUCGCUUUCGUUGCUUCAUGUCUCAUCGAAGAAGAGGCGUUAAUAACAACAGUCUUACAAUCAAUAAUAAUGUGAAUUUGAGCAUUUUAAGGAUAGAUUGCUAUGGAUAUAAAAAGCUUGUAUAGUUUGUUGUUAUAGAGCAACGUGUAAUAAAUGAUGACAUUAUGAGAAUUAUUGUAAUAAUAUGGUAAUAAAUUUAUAAUUUUCUGUGGGCUUA